UAAAAUAAUAUGGGUACAGGUGCCAUUUAGGGUUUAAUAGGAAAGACCGGUUAAAGGCCGGCGCGGUCACGCCACUGUAAUGGGGAGCAAUGCCAAUAAAUACCACUGAAACUAAUUGUUUCGGGAAAGUUUGGAGACGCGAUGAUCCUAAGCCAGGAGAACUGCCUGUCUGACAAUCGCCAU
rnacentral:ncRNA from 2 species